UAAUACGGAGGGUCCGAGCGUUAUCCGGAAUCAUUGGGUUUAAAGGGUCCGUAGGCGGGUUAAUAAGUCAGAGGUGAAAUCCCAUAGCUCAACUAUGGAACUGCCUUUGAUACUGUUAGCCUUGAGUCAUUUGGAAGUAGAUAGAAUGUGUAGUGUAGCGGUGGAAUGCAUAGAUAUUACACAGAAUACCGAUUGCGAAGGCAGUCUACUACGAAUGUACUGACGCUGAUGGACGAAAGCGUGGGUAGCGAACAGGAUUAGAUACCCUGGUAGUCCACGCCGUAAACGAUGGACACUAGUUGUUGGGAUUUAUCUCAGUGACUAAGCGAAAGUGAUAAGUGUCCCACCUGGGGAGUACGGUCGCAAGAUUG
rnacentral:rRNA from 1 species